rnacentral:tRNA from 1 species
AGGGUCGUAGCUCAACUGGUAGAGCACCGGUCUCCAAAACCGGGGGUUGGGGGUUCGAGUCCCUCCGGCCCUG